rnacentral:rRNA from 1 species
UACGUAGGUGACAAGCGUUGUCCGGAUUUACUGGGCGUAAAGAGCGCGCAGGCGGUCGAUCAAGUCGAGUGUGAAAGCCCCCGGCUCAACUGGGGAGGGUCAUUCGAUACUGAUCGACUCGAAGGCAGGAGAGGGUAGUGGAAUUCCUGGUGUAGCGGUGAAAUGCGCAGAUAUCAGGAGGAACACCAAUGGCGAAGGCAGCUCGCUGGAACGGUACUGACGCUGAGGCGCGAAAGCGUGGGGAGCGAACAGG